rnacentral:rRNA from 1 species
AGAUUGAACGCUGGCGGCAGGCCUAACACAUGCAAGUCGAGCGGUAGAGAGGUGCUUGCACCUCUUGAGAGCGGCGGACGGGUGAGUAAUGCCUAGGAAUCUGCCUAGUGGUGGGGGAUAACGUUCGGAAACGGACGCUAAUACCGCAUACGUCCUACGGGAGAAAGCGGGGGACCUCCGGGCCUCGCGCCAUUAGAUGAGCCUAGGUCGGAUUAGCUAGUUGGUGAGGUAAUGGCUCACCGAAGGCGACGAUCCGUAACUGGUCUGAGAGGAUGAUCAGUCACACUGGAACUGAGACACGGUCCAGACUCCGUACGGGAGCAGCAGGUGGGAAUAGUUGGACAAGUGGGACGAAAGCCUAGACUCCAGCCAGUCGCCGCGUGUG